AUUGAACGCUGGCGGCAGGCUUAACACAUGCAAGUCGAACGGCAGCACGGGGCAACCUGGUGGCGAGUGGCGAACGGGUGAGUAAUGCAUCGGAACGUACCUUUCAGUGGGGGAUAACGUAGCGAAAGUUACGCUAAUACCGCAUAUUCUGUGAGCAGGAAAGCAGGGGAUCGCAAGACCUUGCGCUGAUUGAGCGGCCGAUGUCAGAUUAGCUAGUUGGUGAGGUAAAGGCUCACCAAGGCGACGAUCUGUAGCGGGUCUGAGAGGAUGAUCCGCAACACUGGAACUGAGACACGGUCCAGACUCCUACGGGAGGCAGCAGUGGGGAAUUUGGACAAUGGGGGCAACCCUGAUCCAGCCAUGCCGCGUGAGUGAAGAAGGCCUUCGGGUUGUAAAGCCCUUUCGGCCGGGAAGAAAUCGUAUCAGCUAAUACCUGGUGCGGAUGACGGUACCGGCAUAAGAAGCACCGGCUAACUACGUGCCAGCCGCCGCAGUAACAC
rnacentral:rRNA from 1 species